rnacentral:misc_RNA from 1 species
GAUGAAGAACGUAGCGAAAUGCGAUAAGUAGUGUGAAUUGCAGAAUUCAGUGAAUCAUCGAAUCUUUGAACGCACAUUGCGGCCAUAGGUAUUCCUUUGGCCAUGCCUGUUCGAGCGUCAUUUACACCUCAAGCCUAGCUUGGUGUUGGGCGCCUGUCCCGCCGUUUUCGCGCGCGGACUCGCCUCAAAGUCAUUGGCGGCGGUCGUGCCGGCCCCCUCGCGCAGCACAUUUGCGCUUCUCGGAGGCCCGGCGGAUCCGCGCUCCAGCAAGACCUUUCACGACUUGACCUCGGAUCAGGUAGGGAUACCCGCUGAACUUAAGCAUAUCAAUAAGCGGAGGA